UACGGAGGGUGCAAGCGUUGUCCGGAAUCACUGGGCGUAAAGGGCGCGUAGGCGGCUCAUGAAGGCUGUGGUGAAAGUCCGGGGCUCAACCUCGGAUCGGCCGUGGCGACUCGUGGGCUGGAGCACUGUAGAGGCGGGUGGAAUUCCGGGUGUAGCGGUGGAAUGCGUAGAGAUCCGGAAGAACACCAGUGGCGAAGGCGGCUUCCUGGACUGCAACUGACGCUGAGGCGCGAAAGCUAGGGGAGCAAACAGG
rnacentral:rRNA from 1 species